GGCAGAGCCAGUAGGGCGUGAUUAUAGCUAGUCAUAGUUACUCUGAUA
rfam:Glossina fuscipes fuscipes unplaced genomic scaffold Scaffold279, whole genome shotgun sequence.